CAAUAGCGUAUAUUAAAGUUGUUGCAGUUAAAACGCUCGUAGUCGGAUUUCGUGGUCGGGCGACAGGUCUCCUUCACAGGUGCACUUGUCGGCUUGCCAUUCUUACCGGAACGGCUGCACUUUUUUAACUAAACGUGCAGUUGGAACGGUUUAUUUACUUUGAAAAAAUCAGAGUGUUUCAAGCAGGCAGCUCGCUCUUGCAUGGAUUAGCAUGGGAUAAUGAAAUAGGACUUUGGUGCUAUUUUGUUGGUUUCGAACACCGAAGUAAUGAUUAAAAGGGACAGUCAGGGGCACUCGUAUUCCGCCGAGAGAGGUGAAAUUCUCAGACCAGCGGAAGACGAACCACUGCGAAAGCAUUUGCCAGGGAUGUUUUCACUGAUCAAGAACGAAAGUUAGGGGAUCGAAGACGAUUAGAUACCGU
rnacentral:rRNA from 1 species